AAAUUGAAGAGUUUGAUCAUGGCUCAGAUUGAACGCUGGCGGCAGGCCUAACACAUGCAAGUCGAACGGUAACAGGAAGCAGCUUGCUGCUUUGCUGACGAGUGGCGGACGGGUGAGUAAUGUCUGGGAAACUGCCUGAUGGAGGGGGAUAACUACUGGAAACGGUGGCUAAUACCGCAUAA
rnacentral:rRNA from 51 species